AACGAACGCUGGCGGCAGGCUUAACACAUGCAAGUCGAACGCCCCGCAAGGGGAGCGGCAGACGGGUGAGUAACGCGUGGGAAUCUACCCAUCUCUGCGGAAUAGCUCCGGGAAACUGGAAUUAAUACCGCAUACGCCCUACGGGGGAAAGAUUUAUCGGGGAUGGAUGAGCCCGCGUUGGAUUAGCUAGUUGGGGGGGUAAAGGCCUACCAAGGCGACGAUCCAUAGCUGGUCUGAGAGGAUGAUCAGCCACAUUGGGACUGAGACACGGCCCAAACUCCUACGGGAGGCAGCAGUGGGGAAUAUUGGACAAUGGGCGCAAGCCUGAUCCAGCCAUGCCGCGUGAGUGAUGAAGGCCUUAGGGUUGUAAAGCUCUUUCACCGGUGAAGAUAAUGACGGUAACCGGAGAAGAAGCCCCGGCUAACUUCGUGCCAGCCGCCGCAGUAA
rnacentral:rRNA from 1 species